UUUCCGUAGGUGAACCUGCGGAGGGAUCAUUACUGAGUGAGGGCCUUUGGGCUCGACCUCCAACCCUUUUGUGAACCACCUCGUUGCUUCGGGGGCGACCCUGCCGCUUCGGCGGUGCGGCGACCCCGGAGGCCAUUAAACACUGCAUCAUUGCGUCGGAGUUAAAGUAAAUUAAACAAAACUUUCAACAACGGAUCUCUUGGUUCCAGCAUCGAUGAAGAACGCAGC
rnacentral:misc_RNA from 1 species